CAGACAGGCCUUGAACUUGCUAUGUAGCUUAGCAUGUCCUUGACUUCUGAUCUUCCAACUACCACCUCCCCAGUGUUGGGAUCACAGGUGUGCAUCACUAAAUCUGGUUUAUGAGAUACUGGGGCUGGAACCCAGGACUUUGUGCGUGCCAGACAAGAACUCCCCACCUGAGCUACAAGGAGCCUUUUCAUUUGUAUUAGCUAGAAGAGAAAUGGAAGGAGUCCUGGGAAGGUCACAAUUCACUUCAGACCAUUAAAGGCUUCAGAAAGCUCUGUAUUACGUGUACUAUUUAACAUUAAGGAUUUUUUAGUCUAUUGUAUCGUGUGUGUGUGUGUGUGUGUGUGUGUGUGUGUGUAUGUGCACGCAUUUACACCAUGGCACACGUGUAGCAGUCAGAGGACAACUUGAAAGAGGCAGUUCUCUCCCUCCACCAGGAACUGAACUCUCAUCAAUCUUGGUGCCUUUACCUGCCAAGCCGGCUCUCCAGCCCUAUUAUUUAACACUGUUUAAAAGCACUUUCCACGCUUAUUUAAAGACAGAUUUUUUGUUUUGCUUUGUUUGUUUCUUGAUUUUGCUCCCCCUCCCCCACCCCCAGGAAAACCUUUAAACUUCACGUGACAUCUGAGAAAUUAAAAUCCCCUGGUAAACUGAUUGCAAUGACCUUGACAGUCACUGACAAGGCCAACAAGGGUAAAUGCAGCUGACCAGGGUGGUGUUUAACCCAAGACUGAGCUGCAGCUGUGCAAUGACAUUGAAUGAAUCGCUCCUUUGUAUCAAUGCCCCUCCCAGACCCAAGUUUCUCCCACUUCCUGAUUCUGAGAUGCCAACUUUUAAAUCACCUGCUUCUCGCCACGAUCUGUCCUGACCUGAUUCUAGCUCUCUCUACCCUUCGCUGCUAGAAUCACUUAACACGAACCUGGCAAAGAGUAUCUUUCCUGAAACUUCUUACUAAGAUGCCCCAAGAUGCUUUGGGGUCCUUUGAGGUCUGCAUUCUCUCACAGAUGCAAUUUAAUAAAGCUAGCAAAGUCCGGUAUCUCGAGAUACACAUCAAAGCUUAAGAAAAACUGGGUGAAAUAAUUCCUUCCCAUUAUAAAAUCUUGUGACUUAGUUGAGGUGUUAUUUCCCAUUUAAAAAGUUUUGUGUGCCAAUUAGAAAAUUAUUAGGAACAAAAAGAGUGAAGAUUAUGUUGUUAGAUAUAUUAAAAUAGAAAAUAUGGAUUAUUUUUGUGAGUAGCUCGAUGCCUGUCUUGUUCCUCACCAGGCUUGCAUUUUUGACUUACCAUUUGUCUGUCUUGACUCAACCAAGAGCUUAAUGUAAGGCCCCAUUCGGGAAGCCAGGACUCUCCUUGCACCAGAGGGAGAUCAGAUUGGCUCUUUUGGCAGAAGGGAAGGAUGACAGAGAAAGUGAGGCUGAUGCUCCAGACUGCGUGGGAGACCUGAGUUCAUGCAGCCCCAGCCCCCCAAUGGCACCAGGAGACACUGGUUAGUACACAGAAUGGGGCCUCGCCAGCUUCUCAAUGGCAAUGCAGUUAUCCAAACCACUGGCCUUUGCCCCUGCCAUUCAUAGGUCAUUCAGUUCCCCUUAAUAGCCUUUCCCAGUGGUACCUGGAAGAAAGUCCCUGCAAAUGGCUUACGUGUGCAGGGGGUCGGUCUGCUGUGGCUACUUCCACAGGAAUCUUCAGCAGAAGUAGGCUGGGACUAUGCUGCAGAGCCUCACUACUGCCACCUGCUGGUGUCCGCUGUGACAACACUAGUGAUGUCUUCCCUGGAUAGUCCAGUUUUUAUCGAAACAAUCAGGCAACUUGCUGAAAUCCUAGGAAUGAGCCAACAAUUCUGCGUGCCCACAGUUUGGGUGACUGUACACUGUUUUCCACAGCAUCAGGACCUGUUCUCACUCCUGCCAAUGCACAGGAGGAGCUCUGGUUUCACCACACCCCUGCCUACACUUGUGACCCUUUGUUUCUGUUUUUUCAGAUCCGGAGUGACAUCAGAUGCCAAGGCCAGGAGGCAGCUGGUGUCUGACUCUGGGGCUUAGGAUAGAUCAAUGUUUAGGACCAGGAGACCUGGAUAUCAUUGUGAUCUGAGGUGUAGGGGUUGAAAUUGGGAGAGGAAGAGAGAUGCAAUGGAAAAACGUGUCCACUGGUAAAGAACUGGAAAGAAAUGUCCUGAUUUGAUUUGAGCGUCCCUUUAAUUUUAGAAACACUAUCAGGAGGGAGGCUGGCUUGUGAGGUGAGCUGCCUGCACCAGCUCUAAAUCACACGUUGCUGAUGAGUGAGGAUCCUUGUUAUAAAUGGAAAUGUGAACUGGCAGCUACUCACUGGCUAUAACCGAGGGCCUGGGUAACGUCAGUACCUAUGAUGUUUGCGAUCUAGUUUCCUUAUCAAGUGUAUACACAUACAAGGGAUACAAAGAUACUAACACUGUUCAAAAAAAAUGAGAGCACUUUCAUUAAGGCAUAGCUGCAGUGGGUACAGGAAGGACUUUCCAUCAUUUCCCCGAGGUCAGGGAUGCUUUUUGGUGGCUAAUAUGUAUAUUUAAUAACUUAAUAAUUAUAGAUGUAGGUAUAUUUGUAGAACAUCAGCCCCAGAGACUGUUCAAAUGCUUUCAGGAAAAGCAUCAAAGAAGAGAAAGUAUGUCUCAAAACCUUUCAAGGUGGCGCCUUUCCAGUCUCCAAUUCUCCUCACAUCUCCGAGUCUCUACCUGCAGGUGACGCCCUGUGACCCACUCUCUGGAAUGCUCUCUGUGCCUCUGACUCUCAAUUCCAGGAACUUUUGACACAUACUUCUGCUGGCAUUCCUGGUGGAUCACCGUCUCCUGGAGCCUUAAAGGAGUCCAGUUGAGAGCUGUCAUUGGAAAAGGAGUCUUGUCAUUGAUUGUUUUACUGGUGGGGUGUUCUUUCCUCUUGUCCUCCCAAUUCAUGACUGUGGUACAGAUUUUAGGUUUCUUUGAGGUGAAAUAUGCAACUGUCCUGUGACUAUACAGCUCAUUUCUUUCCAUCCCAAGUAAUUGUUGUUGCAUUUUAUCAGUGUAUUUACGUCAAAACUGACUAUAACCUGGAAUGUCUUGUAUGUUUAUCCACACGCUUACUGUCUCCUCCAACUGAAAGGUAAAUUCUCCCAGAUUAGGGUGUCCUGUGUAUUCCCUUUCUUCCCAGAGCAAGGCUUGACAUCAUAACAGGUGCUUGUAACCCCCCACUGGUUGACUAACUUACAAUAGAAUCAAUAGUUUAAAUGUCUUAAAAACAUAGUUUUAGGGCCAGUGAGAUGGCUCAGUGGAUAGAAAUGCUUACUGUCCAGGUAAAUAACCCCAGGACCUACACAGUGAAAGAAAGAGAUGACUCCCACAAGUCCUCCGAUCUUUGCACAUUGCAUCAUGACACCACACACACACACACACACACACACACACACACACACACACACACACACAUAUUAAUCUUGGGCUUUUGUUAUAGUGGUCGAAAAGCUGACAGACACACUGGUAGAGGCGCUGAGUGUAACAGACACAGGGGCCUGCUUCCCAACCCUUCACCCAUGUUAGAAGUUAUUGUGUGGGGGACACCUGACCCAUGGAAACCCUUGAGAUGAUCAAAUGAUCAAAUACGCCCCUGGGAGAGUCAGGCUCUUGAAGCAUUUGGCACACAUCCUGAAAGACUUCAGACAAGAAAGAGUUACAAAGACACCAACCCUGCUUUUUUUUUUUAAAUCUCUCUUUUGGCUCUAAGUCAAAAAAAGGAUGGAGAUAGAAUCGGGGGUAGAGAAGAAGUUCUCUCUGGCUCACUCACCUUCCU